UACGGGGGGAGCAAGCGUUGUUCGGAUUUACUGGGCAUAAAGGGCGCGUAGGCGGUCAGCACAAGUCAGUUGUGAAAUCUCCGGGCUUAACUCGGAAAGGUCAACUGAUACUGUGCGACUAGAGUGCAGAAGGGGCAACUGGAGUUCUCGGUGUAGCGGUGAAAUGCGUAGAUAUCGAGAGGAACACCUGCGGCGAAGGCGGGUUGCUGGGCUGACACUGACGCUGAUGCGCGAAAGCCAGGGGAGCGAACGGG
rnacentral:rRNA from 1 species